GCUGGGUGUGGUGGCGCACACCUGUAUUCCCAGCAUUUUGGGAGGCUGAGGUGGGUGGAUUGCUUGAGACCAGGAGUUCGAGACCAGCCUGGGCAACACAGUGAAACCCCAUCUCUA
rnacentral:SRP_RNA from 1 species